rnacentral:rRNA from 1 species
CAGCCGCCGCGGGAAUACAGAGGGUGCGAGCGUUAAUCGGAUUUACUGGGCGUAAAGCGUGCGUAGGCGGCUUCUUAAGUCGGAUGUGAAAUCCCUGAGCUUAACUUAGGAAUUGCAUUCGAUACUGGGAAGCUAGAGUAUGGGAGAGGAUGGUAGAAUUCCAGGUGUAGCGGUGAAAUGCGUAGAGAUCUGGAGGAAUACCGAUGGCGAAGGCAGCCAUCUGGCCUAAUACUGACGCUGAGGUACGAAAGCAUGGGGAACAAACAGGAUUAGAUACCCGCGUAGUCCCUGUCUCUUAUAC